rnacentral:rRNA from 1 species
UAAUAGAUAGGAACGUAUCCGGGAGUGGGGGAUAACUAGCCGAAAGGUUAGCUAAUACCGCAUAUUCUCUUAGGAGGAAAGCGGGGGACUCGUAAGAGCCUCGCGCUCGCGGAGUGGCCUAUCUCCGAUUAGCUAGUUGGUGAGGUAAAGGCUCACCAAGGCGACGAUCGGUAGCUGGUCUGAGAGGAUGAUCAGCCACACUGGGACUGAGACACGGCCCAG